rnacentral:rRNA from 1 species
GACGAACGCUGGCGGCGUGCCUAAUACAUGCAAGUCGAGCGAAGUUUUUCUGGUGCUUGCACUAGAAAAACUUAGCGGCGAACGGGUGAGUAACACGUAAAGAACCUGCCUCAUAGACUGGGACAACUAUUGGAAACGAUAGCUAAUACCGGAUAACAGUAUUUCUCGCAUGAGAGAUAUUUAAAAGUUGGUUAUGCUAACACUAUGAGAUGGCUUUGCGGUGCAUUAGCUAGUUGGUGGGGUAAAGGCCCACCAAGGCGACGAUGCAUAGCCGACCUGAGAGGGUGAUCGGCCACACUGGGACUGAGACACGGCCCAGACUCCUACGGGAGGCAGCAGUAGGGAAUCUUCCGCAAUGGGCGAAAGCCUGACGGAGCAACGCCGCGUGAGUGAAGAAGGAUUUCGGUUCGUAAAGCUCUGUUGUUAGGGAAGAAUGGAUAGGUAGUAACUAUACAUGUAAGAGACGGUACCUAACCAGAUAGCCACGGCUAACUACGGG